AAGAAGUCAGGCCGGAUUAAGCCAUAGUACGGUAAGAGCUAUGCUGCCUGUGAGCCCCGUCUAAGGACGUAAAAUGAAGUCAGGCCGAAAGCCACGGUUUGAGCAAACCGUGCUGCCUGUAGCUCCAUCGUGGGGAUGUAAAAACCUGGGAGGCUGCAACCCAUGGAAGCUGUACGCAUGGGGUAGCAGACUAGUGGUUAGAGGAGACCCCUCCCGAAACACAACGCAGCAGCGGGGCCCAACACCAGGGGAAGCUGUACCCUGGUGGUAAGGACUAGAGGUUAGAGGAGACCCCCCGCAUAACAAUAAACAGCAUAU
rnacentral:lncRNA from 1 species